GAUUAACGCUGGCGGCGUGCCUAACACAUGCAAGUCGAGCGGCAGCGAGUUUUACACUGACUUCUGGAAGCUUCUAGUUGCAAGAGAAGAUUUAUUCAAGAAUUUUGUGUAAAAUGUCGGCGAGCGGCGGACGGCUGAGUAACGCGUGGGAACGUACCCCCAAGUGAGGGAUAACGCAUCGAAAGGUGUGCUAAUACCGCAUAUGGUCUUCGGAUUAAAGCCUUCGGGCGCUUUGGGAACGGCCUGCGUAAGAUUAGAUAGUUGGUGGGGUAAUGGCCUACCAAGUCGACGAUCGUUAACUGGUUUGAGAGGAUGAGCAGUCAGACUGGAACUGAGACACGGUCCAGACUCCUACGGGAGGCAGCAGUGAGGAAUCUUCCACAAUGGGCGAAAGCCUGAUGGAGCAACGCCGCGUGCAGGAUGAAGGCCUUCGGGUUGUAAACUGCUUUUAUAAGUGAGGAUUAUGACAGUAACUUAUGAAUAAGGAUCGGCUAACUACGUG
rnacentral:rRNA from 1 species